GGGGGCGUACCGGUUUCGACGGGGACGCGGAAGCGGGAAUAGCGGGCGAAGGCGCCUGACCUUCUAAAAACGGGCAUCUUUAUAAAUUAAAGAACAACGAUAACUACGAACUCGUAGCGGCUUAAGUCCGCUACCGUCCCGGCCGGAAGGCCCACGAGCCGGUCUGGGGCGUCAUUUGAGUGGGGACCGUGUGUGCGCAAAGCUUUGAGCGCACCAUGAAUCAUGAAGCUACCGACCCACCGAGCGUGACGGCUCGCGCUCUGGGAAGGGAAAUCUAAAGAACCGUCUGCGCCCGGAGAAGUUCCCGUGAAAGUGUUUUCGGACGGGGGUUCAACUCCCCCCGCCUCCACCA
rnacentral:tmRNA from 1 species